AUGGUGAACGUUCCAAAGACAAAGAAAACAUACUGCAAAAACAAGGAGUGCAAGAAGCACACCUUACACAAAGUUACCCAAUACAAAAAGGGUAAAGAUAGCAUUGCUGCUCAAGGAAAGAGGCGUUAUGAUCGCAAACAAUCUGGUUAUGGUGGACAGACCAAGCCUGUUUUUCACAAAAAGGCUAAGACCACUAAGAAAAUUGUCUUGAGGCUUCAGUGUCAAAGUUGCAAACAUGUUUCCCAACAUGCCAUUAAG